GAUGAACGCUGGCGGCGUGCCUAAUACAUGCAAGUCGAGCGAACAGACGAGGAGCUUGCUCCUCUGACGUUAGCGGCGGACGGGUGAGUAACACGUGGAUAACCUACCUAUAAGACUGGGAUAACUUCGGGAAACCGGAGCUAAUACCGGAUAAUAUAUUGAACCGCAUGGUUCAAUAGUGAAAGACGGUUUUGCUGUCACUUAUAGAUGGAUCCGCGCCGCAUUAGCUAGUUGGUAAGGUAACGGCUUACCAAGGCAACGAUGCGUAGCCGACCUGAGAGGGUGAUAGGCCACACUGGAACUGAGACACGGUCCAGACUCCUACGGGAGGCAGCAGUAGGGAAUCGUACGCAGAGGGCGAAAGCAUGACGGAGCAACGCCGAGUGAGUGAUGAAGGUCUUCGGAUCGUAAAACUCUGUUAUUAGGGAAGAACAAAUGUGUAAGUAAAUAUACACGUCUUGACGGUACCUAAUCAGAAAGCCACGGCUAACUACGUG
rnacentral:rRNA from 1 species